rnacentral:misc_RNA from 1 species
AAGUCGUAACAAGGUUUCCGUAGGUGAACCUGCGGAAGGAUCAUUCACAAUGAGUGUUUAAUGGCACUUAAAAUCCAUUACCCACCUUGUGUGCACUGUAGGGAGGGGGCAGAACGGUGCGCCACACAUGUUGUGCGCUGCCUGCCUCUUUCAUUAUACACAUACUAUCUUCAUUCUCGUCUACUUCUAUUGAGUAUAAAACUCUAAUACAACUUUCAACAACGGAUCUCUUGGCUCUC